rfam:Botryotinia fuckeliana T4 unplaced genomic scaffold Contig_10793_V3_B__V4, whole genome shotgun sequence.
GCUUCUAUAGUCCAAUGGUUAGGAUUCCACCCUUCCAAGGUGGAGGUCGGCGUUCGAUUCGCCGUGGUUGCA